AUGGCAAUCAUUCGUUAUUUUUGGUGGGUUGGUGUUAGAGAGGAAGCUAGUGCAAGAGCUUUAUGUCUCAGGGCUUGGAAAGAUAUUUGUACUCCUAAAAAAGGUGGAUUGGGAAUCAAAAACAUGUUGGCUAUGAAUCAAGGUCUCCUUGCGGCUGCCUGGAGACUUGCUGAAAAUCCAGAAAGCCAAGUCUAUCAAGUUCUCCAUGCUAAGUAUUUUCCUGAUUCUUCCAUUUGGAGAGCUACUCCGAAUACUCCGAAAUCUGCUCUCUGGACUUCUAUUCUCAAGGUCUUGCCGAUGCUCAAGGAGCAUUCUUUUUACCAGAUCACCCAAGGCAACAUUUCUAUUUGGAGCUCACCUUGCUGUACCACUUGGGAGAACAUAUAUGAUCACCUUAUUGUCUAG
rnacentral:rRNA from 1 species